CAGAUUGGUGGUUUAAAAAACACUGUGGCCACUGGAGGGGAUGGUUGGGGGGACAAUGAGUGUGAGGAGGGUGUCUAUCCCAGAUUCGGUGCAUGCUCCAGGCGGGGAGGGGAGGCUGACGCCGGGACCCAGCUGCCCCGAGCCACCUCCCUCCUUCCCUCCUCUCCUCCCUGCCCCCUGUCUCUGUCACUCACGGGGCGGGCCCGGCUGGGCAGCCAUGGCUGCGACGCUCUUCUGGACUCCUCUCCUCUUGGUUCUCCUGGCAGGGCUGGGGGACACCGAGGCCCAGCAGACCACGCUACACCCACUUGUGGGCCGUGUCUUUGUGCACACCUUGGACCAUGAGACGUUUCUGAGCCUUCCUGAGCAUGUCGCUGUCCCACCUGCUGUCCACAUCACCUACCACGCCCACCUCCAGGGACACCCAGACCUGCCCCGGUGGCUCCGCUACACCCAGCGCAGCCCCCACCACCCUGGCUUCCUCUACGGCUCUGCCACCCCAGAAGAUCGUGGGCGCCAGGUCAUUGAGGUCACAGCCUACAAUCGGGACAGCUUUGAUACCACUCAGCAGAGGCUGGUGCUGGAGAUUGGGGACCCAGAAGGCCCCCUGCUGCCAUACCAAGCCGAGUUCCUGGUGCGCAGCCAUGAUGUGGAGGAGGUGCUGCCCUCAACACCUGCCAGCCGCUUCCUCUCAGCCUUGGGAGGACUCUGGGAGCCCGGAGAGCUUCAGCUACUCAACAUCACUUCAGCCUUGGACCGUGGGGGCCGUGUCCCCCUUCCCAUUGAGGGCCGAAAAGAAGGGGUGUACAUUAAGGUGGGUUCUGCCUCACCUUUCUCUACUUGCCUGAAGAUGGUGGCAUCACCCGAUAGCUACGCCCGCUGUGCCCAGGGCCAGCCUCCACUUCUGUCUUGCUACGACACCUUGGCACCCCACUUCCGCGUUGACUGGUGCAAUGUGACCCUGGUGGAUAAGUCAGUGCCGGAGCCUGCAGAUGAGGUGCCCACCCCAGGCGAUGGGAUCCUGGAGCAUGACCCGUUCUUCUGCCCACCCACUGAAGCCCCAGACCGUGACUUCUUGGUGGAUGCUCUGGUUACCCUCCUGGUGCCCCUGCUGGUGGCCCUGCUUCUCACCUUGCUGCUGGCCUACGUCAUGUGCUGCCGGCGGGAGGGAAGGCUGAAGAGAGACCUGGCUACCUCUGACAUCCAGAUGGUCCACCACUGCACCAUCCACGGGAACACAGAGGAGCUGCGGCAGAUGGCGACCAGCCGCGAGGUGCCCCGGCCACUCUCCACCCUGCCCAUGUUCAAUGUGCGCACGGGUGAGCGGCUGCCUCCCCGUGUGGACAGCGCCCAGGUGCCCCUCAUUCUGGACCAGCACUGAGGGCCCAGCCAGAAUUUUCCAUCUGGGCUUGACUGAAAAAUCAGCCAAAAAUCAGAAGCCUGGUCCUUCUCACAAAGAAGACAAAGUCUCCCCAGUACCUAAGCACAGACUCUGCCUAGCCCUGCAUCGCAACACCUGGCCUCUAGUCUGGAGAGAAUAACAGGAUGGAAACAUGACCACGUCCACAAUCCUAGGAUAAAGGACCGAGGGGAGCUAUGUGGAUCUGGAGAGCUUUGGAAACUCAGAGGGGCUGAGCUCAGGCUGGGUUGGGCAAGGGAAUGGGAGGAGAAUGAAACAUUUGAGCAUGGCCCGGACAGUAGGGUGUUGAAUAUGCAGAGAGAAAGGACAUCUAGAAGGCCUGGAAGUGGGGAAAUGCAGUGCAUUUGUGAGAACUGCGGCCACCCUUUUUGGUUGGUGUGACAGAUGUGGGCAGGGGAGGGGACAGUGAUCCUGGGCAGGUGGGUAGUGGCCAGGUAGAGCCUUGGAUGCCAGGCUCAGGAUGUCCCUGGGUCCCCCAUGAGGGCAGAUGGGGAUGUGGCCUGGACAGCCAGGGUCCAAAAGUCCCAGAGGUCCAGGUGGACAGGGUUUCCUGGGCAGCAUGGCAGGCAUCACCAAGCAAUCAACACAUUGAUCAAGAGAUGGAGCCCGGCGCUGUGGCUCAUGUCUGCAAUUCCAGCACUUUGGGAGGCUGAGGCAGGCGGAUCACUUGAGGCCAGGAGUUCGAGACCAGCCUGGCUAACAUGGUAAAACCCUGAAUCUACUAAAAAUAUAAAAAUUAGCUGGGCGUGGUAGUGCAUGGCUGUCAUCCCAGUUACUUGGGAGGCUGAGGCACUAGAAUCACUUGAACCUGGGAGGCGGAGGUUGCAGUGAGCUGAGACUGCACCACCACACUCCAGCCUGGGUGACACAGUGAGACUCUGCCUCAAAAAAAAGAGAGAAAGAGAGAUGCAUGGGCAUCACACAACUUUGGGUAAUUUGCAUAUGAAUAAGCCUUCAUUUAUAUGCCAUCAUUCUUAUCCUCUCUAGACUGAUUCCCUUUCUACACUGUCCUAAGUGUGGUAGAAGUGCUAAUGAUGAAUUAUUAAAGGCCAUAAUGAAUGGCCAUGAAUACUUAAUGACACCACGAUAUUAGUAUUGCUGAUGGAUGGUAUCUACAGACUUGUCCAUCUCUCUGGAGACCUUAGGGAGGAACACGGGCUUUUUGUUCCUUUUGGGUUUAGACCUGAGACAAGGUGAGAGAGGUGACCAGCUGUCGUCUCGCUGUCUCCCUGGCUCCGGGUGCCUGAUUCUCUCCAAACUUCUGACGCCCUGGAUUCUCUGUCCCCCGCUGACCACACUCGCUGUCCCCCUUACCUGAGAUGGGGGAGCCGAACAGUCAAGGAGCGGGCAGAAGGUGAAGGGAAAGAGAAGUGAGGGAGAAAAGGGAGGAAGAGGAAGCAAGAAUUUAAGAAAAAAAAAGAAAGAAAUAAAAAGCUUAAAAUGGAGUAGGCGGGAGGCAGGGGCACAAUGGCUCCCCAGGCCACCCCAGCCCAGGGGUGUUGUGUUCUGGGGAUUCAGGAGGUCGAGGCACCCAGUCUGUGGUGAGCAGGGCCAGGCCUCCUUCCUUCCCGAGAGCACGGUGUGAGCGCCUUCCCCACAGCUCUCCCAGGUGUCUGUCGCCCUCACUCCCCCAGGGCCAGGACAGCGAGCAGGGAGCAUGCCUUCCUCCUGGUCCCUCCCAGACCCUCGCCAGGCUCAGCAGACCCCUCUCCUGUUGCGUUGCUCCUUCGGUAGGAGCUCAGCGUGGGUGAGGAAGGAGCAGACGGCAGAUUACCCUUCAUGUCAGUCCAGGGAGAGGCCCCCAGGUCCUCCUCACGGGUUCCACUCCCCUCACCCUCCCAGUAUCCAUGAGCAUCCCACCGCCACCAACUGCAGGGCAUCCAGGGCGGUGGAGAGUGGACAGGCUUGAAGGGGAGUGGGUAUGAGGUUUGGACAACCCCAGGUGUGAAGGGUGUGUGUGUGUGUGUUGUGCACGUGGAUUGACUGUAUGGUAUUGCAGGAGAGAAGAGGAUUUGGAAAAGGUGCAAGGGAAUUGCAAGAAUAGAAAAUAAAAGAGGAAAUAGAAAGGUUUGAGGUAUAAGAAGGGUGAGAGAAAGGGGAGUGGGGUUAUGGAAGGAUCUAGAAGAGAAUAGUGGGGAGGGAAAGGGCAGGAAUGGAAGGCAAGCC